rnacentral:rRNA from 1 species
GUAGGUGGCAAGCGUUGUCCGGAAUUAUUGGGCGUAAAGCGCGCGCAGGUGGUUCUUUAAGUCUGAUGUGAAAGCCCCCGGCUCAACCGGGGAGGGUCAUUGGAAACUGGGGAACUUGAGUGCAGGAGAGGAAAGUGGAAUUCCACGUGUAGCGGUGAGAUGCGUAGAUAUGCGGAGGAACACCAGUGGCGAAGGCGACUUUCUGGCCUGUAACUGACACUGAGGCGCGAAAGCGUGGGGAGCAAACAGGGAUUAGAUACCCUGGUAGUCCACGCCGUAAACGAUGAGUGCUAAGCGUUGGGGGGGUUUCCCGCCCCUCAGUGCUGCAGCUAACGCAUUAAGCACUCCGCCUGGGGAUACGGUCGCAAGACUG